UAUGAUGUUUUCAUUUUGAAAAUUGAAUGUUUUGUGCAAUGCUGGACCUUUAAUCUAUCACCUUUGACUGGAAAAU
rfam:Fukomys damarensis contig97504, whole genome shotgun sequence.